rfam:Solanum lycopersicum cultivar Heinz 1706 chromosome 9, whole genome shotgun sequence.
GAGUAGGCUAUGAUGCUCAAAAUCUACCUAUUUGCUGAAAGGAGAUUUUCUCCUUCUGUGAUUAUACAUUUAACCAAUGGAUCCUUCUGAGCCUACU